GAUGAACGCUAGCGGAAGGCUUAAUACAUGCAAGUCGAGCGGUAGGUGGCUUCGGCCAUUGAGAGCGGCGCACGGGUGAGUAACGCGUACAUGACCUGCCUGUCAGAAGGGGAUAGCCCUGGGAAACUGGGAUUAAUACCCUAUGGUAUUGAUAUUAUGAAUGAUAUCAAUUAAAGUUGAGGCGCUGACAGAUGGAUGUGCGUCUGAUUAGCUAGUUGGUAGGGUAACGGCCUACCAAGGCGACGAUCAGUAGGGGGCGUGAGAGCGUGGUCCCCCACACGGGUACUGAGACACGGACCCGACUCCUACGGGAGGCAGCAGUAAGGAAUAUUGGUCAAUGCCCGCAAGGGUGAACCAGCCAUUCCGCGUGGAGGAUGAAGGCCCUAUGGGUUGUAAACUUCUUUUAGAUGGGAAGAAAUGCUAGAUGUAUCUGGUACUGACGGUACCAUCAGAAUAAGCACCGGCUAACUCCGUGCCAGCAGCCGCGGUAAA
rnacentral:rRNA from 1 species